UUGAUAAAGGGAACAACUUUUAUUUCCUCUUGAUAAAGGGAACAACUUUUAUUUCCUCUAUGUCGACAAAAUUUACAUCUAAAUGUUUAUCUCAAACAACUUAGCAGCAAUUGUUUCUUUAAAUUCCAAUCGCCAAAACCAACACUGAAGAAUAUUUAAUACAAGUACCGGUACUUUGUUUUAUUUGAGACUUAAUCUUUGUUGUUGUUGCUUUUACAAGCACAUUAAGUUAAUUGAAAAAAAAAAAAAAUUCCCUUGAAUAAAAGGUCAAGGCAUCCAUUGAUAGUAUUAACAACUCCAUAGCUUAAUUGGAAUACAAGUUAAUCUGAGCUCAUAUAACUUUGACAAUAAGCAAAAAAUACAAUAUUUUAAAUAAAUCAUCAAAAAAAAAAAAAAAAAAAGUUAUUUUUAAUAUACUUUAUUAACC